rnacentral:rRNA from 1 species
UAGUAGUUGGUGGGUAACGCCUACCAAGCCUACGAUCUAUAGCUGGUUUUAGAGGAUGAUCAGCAACACUGGGACUGAGACACGGCCCAGACUCCUACGGGAGGCAGCAGUGGGGAAUCUUAGACAAUAGGGGGGCAACCCUGAUCUAGCCAUGCCGCGUGAGUGAUGAAGGCCUUAGGGGUCGUAAAGCUCUUUCGCCUGUGAUGAUAAUGACAGUAGCAGGUAAAGAAA